rnacentral:rRNA from 1 species
UACGUAGGGUGCAGGCGUUAAUCGGAAUUACUGGGCGUAAAGCGUGCGCAGGCGGUUUGCUAAGACAGGUGUGAAAUCCCCGGGCUUAACCUGGGAACUGCGCUUGUAACUGGCAAGCUAGAGUGUGGCAGAGGGGGGUGGAAUUCCACGUGUAGCAGUGAAAUGCGUAGAGAUGUGGAGGAACACCGAUGGCGAAGGCAGCCCCCUGGGCUAACACUGACGCUCAUGACACGAAAGCGUGGGGAGCAAAC